CCCUUAGAUGUUCUGGGCUGCACGCGUGCUACACUGAUUAUUUCAACAAGUGUUUUAACUGGAGAGUUCGCGUAAUCCUGAAAUGUUAUCGUGAUGGGAGUAGAGUAUUGUAUUUGUCAAUCUUUAACGAGGAAUUCCUAGCAAGUGUAGGUUUAUAAGUUGUUCUGAUUACGUCCCUGCCCUUUGUACACACCGCCCGUCGCUCCUACCGAUUGAUUGAUCCGGUGAAUUACAUAGAAUUUUGCGUUUUACAUGACGGAAGACGAAGUGUUUUAAACCUUAUCAUUUAGAGGAAGGAGAAGUCGUAACA
rnacentral:rRNA from 1 species